GCCCGACUGGCUCAGAGGGUAGAGCAUGUGACUCUUGAUCUUGGGGUGGUGAGUUCAAGCCCCACACUGGGCA
rnacentral:tRNA from 1 species